GCAGAUGUAGCUUAAACUAUAGAGCGCUCGCUUUGCAUGCGAGAGGUAUGGUGUUCGACACCCUACAUCUCCA
rnacentral:tRNA from 1 species